rnacentral:rRNA from 1 species
AAAAGUACUUUGAAAAGAGAGUGCAAGAGAACGUGAAACCGGUGUAAUGGAAGCAUAUGGAGUUGACGUAUCUGGUGCGUAUUCAGUUGUUGGGCAUUGUGAUUGCUGGGUUUGUUAUUCCGCAAGGUUGACGGCUUGGUUUUGUUGCAGUGUCUUGCGAUGCAUUUACGUACGGAGUGCGCCGAGUUGUGUGGUGAUGUCAAUCGAAGCUGAUCGAGAGGACAUGGCUUCGGCUGUGAAACCUUGGUUGUUGGAGGUUGAUUGUUGCUGCAUAAUUUUGUGGAGGCAUGGGUUUUUCGCGCGUUGGCGUGCUGAUUUGGCCGGUUCGUGUUGUACACAUGUGUGCGGCGCUUAUGGGUUCGGUCGGUGCGUUAGUGUGCUCUGUGCUCUUCUCGGUGUAUAGUCAAUGACCCAUUUGACCCGUCUUGAAACACGGACCAAGGAGUUUAUGGUAUACGCAAGUCAUUGGGCUUUGAAACCCAAAGGCGUAAUGAAAGUGAGAUCUUAUUGGUUUUAAUGUGAUCGGUUGUUGUUUCGACGGCUGCCGAGCAACAUUGCCCCGUUUCGAGAACUUGUUCUGUUGCGGAGGUUGAGCGUAUGCUAUGAGACCCGAAAGAUGGUGAACUAUGCCUGAACAGGAUGAAGCCAGAGGAAACUCUGGUGGAAGUCCGAAGCGGUUCUGACGUGCAAAUCGAUCGUCUGAUUUUGGUAUAGGGGCGCAAGACUAAUCGAACCAUCUAGUAGCUGGUUUCCUCCGAAGUUUCCCUCAGGAUAGCUGGUGCACAUUAUACAGAUAUACUCGGUAAAGCGAACGAUUAGAGUUCUUGGGAUGUAUUAUUCUCAAACUAUUCUCAUACUCUAAAUGGUUAUGAUGUUGGUGUUGCUUAAUUGAACACUGACUUUGAUUGUUGUGCUCCAAGUGGGCCAUUUUUGGUAAGCAGAACUGGCGAUGUGGGAUGAACCAAACGCGGAGUUACGGUGCCAAACUAUUCGCUCAUGAGACCCCAUGAAAGGUGUUGGUUGAUAUAGACAGCAGGACGGUGGCCAUGGAAGUCGGAAACCGCUAAGGAGUGUGUAACAACUCACCUGCCGAAUCAACUAGCCCUGAAAAUGGAUGGCGCUCGAGCGAGUGACCUAUACUCUGCCGUCGUUGAGACUUGAGCAAUCUCUCGACGAGUAGGAGGUACGUUGCGAUGGCGUUGAAGUUGCGGAGCGUGAGCUCGAAUGGAGCCGUCGCAAGU